rnacentral:rRNA from 1 species
UUUAUUGGAGAGUUUGAUCUUGGCUCAGGACGAACGCUGGCGGCGUGCCUAAUACAUGCAAGUCGAGCGCGGGAAGCAGCGGGUCGCCCUUCGGGGCGUGCGCCUGUGGAACGAGCGGCGGACGGGUGAGUAACACGUGGGCAACCUACCUGUAAGACUGGGAUAACUCGUGGAAACGCGAGCUAAUACCGGAUAACACUUCUGGCUGCAUGGCUGGGAGUUGAAAGGCGGCAUUUAUGCUGUCACUCACAGAUGGGCCCGCGGCGCAUUAGUUAGUUGGUGAGGUAAGAGCUCACCAAGGCCACGAUGCGUAGCCGACCUGAGAGGGUGAUCGGCCACACUGGGACUGAGACACGGCCCAGACUCCUAC